rnacentral:lncRNA from 1 species
GGAGAUGUGAGGUUGUUAUGAGUGGGUGCCAGUUGUGUUUUUGAGUGUCAGUGAGGGAAGAGAGAGACAAAUUCUUUUUUUAUUAUUUUCUAUGUAACCGUUGAGGGAUAGGUUGGAAUGCCAACUGUCUAGUUGGGAUAAGGAGAAAAAGUUUAUUAUCAUUUGCUAGCUGUCAAACGUAAAUACGCUAUUAUCCUCACUUUUUUUAAAUUUUGGAAAUUAUAAAGAGUUAAUAAUCAUUUU